GCCUAACACAUGCAAGUCGAACGCUGUAGCAAUACAGAGUGGCAGACGGGUGAGUAACGCGUGGGAACGUGCCUUUCGGUUCGGAAUAACUCAGGGAAACUUGAGCUAAUACCGGAUACGCCCUUCGGGGGAAAGAUUUAUUGCCGAAAGAUCGGCCCGCGUCCGAUUAGCUAGUUGGUGUGGUAAUGGCGCACCAAGGCGACGAUCGGUAGCUGGUCUGAGAGGAUGAUCAGCCACACUGGGACUGAGACACGGCCCAGACUCCUACGGGAGGCAGCAGUGGGGAAUAUUGGACAAUGGGCGCAAGCCUGAUCCAGCCAUGCCGCGUGAGUGAUGAAGGCCCUAGGGUUGUAAAGCUCUUUCGCCAGGGACGAUAAUGACGGUACCUGGAUAAGAAGCCCCGGCUAACUUCGUGCCAGCAGCCGCGGUAAUACGAAGGGGGCUAGCGUUGUUCGGAAUCACUGGGCGUAAAGCGCACGUAGGCGGAUCUUUAAGUCAGGGGUGAAAUCCCGAGGCUCAACCUCGGAACUGCCUUUGAUACUGGAGGUCUCGAGUCCGGGAGAGGUGAGUGGAACUGCGAGUGUAGAGGUGAAAUUCGUAGAUAUUCGCAAGAACACCAGUGGCGAAGGCGGCUCACUGG
rnacentral:rRNA from 1 species